rnacentral:misc_RNA from 1 species
CGUAAAGGUGCAUGAGUGGUGUUUGGUUUGUUACGUGUGGUUGGCUGCGGCGCUUGCAACAACUUCCAUGCUCUCAUACCUCUUCAGUAGUGCGACAAGGCUUGUAUCGCCUUGAGCGUCACGUGGGUUUUCUGUGUUGAAUACCUAAUCAACGGUAUCGGUUGGAUAGAUCAAAAGUUUUUUUUCGCCUUGCGUUGCAUUUGCGACGUGAGGUGAACCUGAAUGCGUUCUCUUUGAUCCACUUUGUCGGAGCACAAGCUUCGACAUUGUGGCACAUUGAGUAUUGCUUGGUUUCUCGUAUACCGAACAUAACGUGGGCUUGGAUCUAACGAUUCUUGUUUGCCCUUGUUUCAGCGUCUAAAACGACU